AAAACAAAGACAAGAAAACAGUGAAAGAUUGGAUUGCCUCGUUCUCUCCAGCUGCUCUUAAAACAAAAGUGCAGAAAAAAAUCAUUACAAAAUUGUUUGAUCCAACCACCUCUCGCUCGCACAUGUUCAGUCACCAAAUUUUUGAUGGUGAUGGAAUCUUCCUGAACAAACAAGGAGAUAGAAUGAGGCGCAGGAAUCUGUCAUUCAAAGAUUAUUCAACUCCGACAGAAGCU
rnacentral:ribozyme from 14 species